rnacentral:rRNA from 1 species
UACGAAGGGGGCUAGCGUUGUUCGGAAUCACUGGGCGUAAAGGGCGCGUAGGCGGCUUUGUAAGUCGGGGGUGAAAGCCUGUGGCUCAACCACAGAAUUGCCUUCGAUACUGCGAGGCUUGAGACCGGAAGAGGUUAGUGGAACUGCGAGUGUAGAGGUGAAAUUCGUAGAUAUUCGCAAGAACACCAGUGGCGAAGGCGGACUGACUGGUCCGGAUCUGACGCUGAGGCACGAAGGCCAGGGGAGCAAACCGGGG